GUCCUAAUUACAAAGAUAAGGCAGGAAAUGUAUAAAUUAAAAUGAAAACUCACUACAAUUUAAGCAACAGUAGACGCAUCAGUAUGAACGUUCAUCAAGUGCUAUCGUACAUUAUCCUGAUUUCCAUAUUCAAGUGGAACGAUGCUCUACUGUGUUACUCCUGUACGGAUUUGAAAAACAACGAAGCCUGCUUCAAUAUAACAGCGUGCCCGGAUGGAGAAGUACUCUUUUCAAUGUUCAAAUACUUUAAUUCAAUAAGUGGACAUAACAUAAAUAUCUAAUCAUACCUGUUUUAUGCAAUUACUCCGUAAGAUCCAUAACAUUUUCUCCCGGAUAUUUAUUUUAUUUUUAUGGGGUUCAACGUCACGCCGAUACAAUUAUAAGUCGACUUUCCAGCUUUUCAUAAUGCAGAAAGACCCCAAGUGACCUUCCAGACAUUAUUUCAGAUGGGUACCUGGCCGGAAUAACCACAUUUACUAGACCAUGAGCCAAA